rnacentral:rRNA from 1 species
GACGAACGCUGGCGGCGUGCUUAACACAUGCAAGUCGAACGGAAAGGCCCUGCUUUUGUGGGGUGCUCGAGUGGCGAACGGGUGAGUAACACGUGAGUAACCUGCCCUUGACUUUGGGAUAACUUCAGGAAACUGGGGCUAAUACCGGAUAGGAGCUCCUGCUGCAUGGUGGGGGUUGGAAAGUUUCGGCGGUUGGGGAUGGACUCGCGGCUUAUCAGCUUGUUGGUGGGGUAGUGGCUUACCAAGGCUUUGACGGGUAGCCGGCCUGAGAAGGUGACCGGCCACAUUGGGACUGAAAUACGGCCCAGACUCCUACGGGAGGCAGCAGUGGGGAAUAUUGCACAAUGGGCGGAAGCCUGAUGCAGCAACGCCGCGUGCGGGAUGACGGCCUUCGGGUUGUAAACCGCUUUCGCCUGUGACGAAGCGUGAGUGACGGUAAUGGGUAAAGAAGCACCGGCUAACUACGUG